AACGUAGGUGGCAAGCGUUAUCCGGAUUUACUGGGCGUAAAGCGUGUGCAGGCGGGUGGACAAGUGGUGUAUGAAAUCGCCAGGCUAAACCUGGCGGGGUUAUGCCAGACUGUCCGUCUGGAGUGCGAGAGAGGGGCGUGGAAUUCCGGGUGUAGUGGUGAAAUGCGUAGAGAUCCGGAGGAACCCCAGAGGCGAAGGCGGCGCCCUGGCUCGCAACUGACGCUCAGACACGACAGCAUGGGGAGCGAACGGG
rnacentral:rRNA from 1 species